UUCUCCCACAAGGACACAAGAUCAUUGAAUGAAUAGAUAUUGACUGGGGGUCUAAUAUAGAGGAUCUUAUUCAAGGUUCUUGUAUCUUCCACAGCUUUGAUAGUGUAGGUGGCUAUGUCAUCUUCCUGGUUGAACUUCCUUGUUGAAAAUUGCUUUGGGAUUUCCAUCACCCAAGAUGACAACUUUAUCUCUUGGAGGAGCUGUCGCUCCAACCUGGUUGAAACUCGGAAGCAAAUACCCAGCAAAAACG
rnacentral:misc_RNA from 1 species